GAGCAGCGAGGCUGCGGGACAGACGCAUUCCAGGUCUCAGCUCCCGCACCUGCUGGCCGGCGGUGGGAAAAUCGCCCCACCCCUCUGCACCUCCUGUUCAGGUAUCACAUGGGCCAGGCCUAAUCCCUGCUGGGUUGGAAGUGUGCAAGGUGCAAGGCCCCUGGCGCAGAGUGCAGUAGGCGCUCCAUAAGUGCUCUGCUUUGUCUCGCUGUCGGGAGCGCCCGCUGGGCAGAGCGGUGCCUGAAGACUCCAGGGGCCUCUGGGAGUGGCAGGACCCAGAAGCUGCCGGGGGAGCUGACCACUGGGGUGGGGAGGGCCAGUGCAGGGAACCCUGGGGGAGAAGGGGUGACCAACCUGGCACCUGGGGCCCCGGGUGGGCGGGGGACAUAGGAGCGAGAGGCCCGGCCCCUGGCUUGGGUCCCUGGGUAGAUGGCGGGCUUUCCAUGGGAGGGGAAACUGAGGCAGAGCGCUGCUUUGGAAGGAAGCUGCUGAGCUCUCUCGGGGUGCGUGGAUAAGGAGGGUGCCUGGGAGCCUUCCCGGCGGAGGCAUCUGUGAGGCCGUCGGAGACCGAGACAGCCGAGGGGGCCCGGGCCUCUCAGGGAGCAAGUGAAAUAUUCUCUCAACAGCUUGGCAGGGCAGCUGCCUGUUCACGGCCCCAGCACAAGGCCUGGCUGUUUGUUGAAUAAACCAGGCAGGACCCCCGCAGACAAGCCGGGCGGCGGGCGGUGGUGGCUGCUCGAGCAGGGAGGCCCGAGUUCCAGCCCAGCUCCUCUCGGUGGUCCUUACAGGGCCCUGGCUCGGCCCCCUCUGUGCACUGAGCCUCAGCUUCCUCACCUGGAAACUGGGCACAGGUAAAGAUUCGGGGCGGUGCUUGUGGACGCCGUAGCUUUGCGCUGGGCCCGGGAAGCAUCGCUGACUUCCUGGUGUGGCAGAGGAGGGAGCUGGGAUCCGCCCGACAGCCACAGCCACAGCUGCGUCCCAUGUGGGAAAGGAGCCCUCGGCCCCGCCCCGCCAGCUGCAGCCGGUGGGCGGGGAGGCGCAUCCCGUGGGGUGGAGGAGGGAGAGCAGAUGACAGGAUCCUGACUCAGGGGUCAGCCUGCGAGGCCCGAUCCGCGGCUGCUCGGCGCUGGCGCUCUGGGGGCCGCACCUGGCGGAUGCUGGGCUCGGUUCAGCACACAGGAGCAGCGCCUCAGAACCUUGGGACGCUCUGACGGUACCGGGCCCCGUUCCCAGGGGCCCAGCUGCUCUCGGGGCGCUGGGGACACAGCAGGACACAAGACGGCCGAAGGUCUGUGCCCACGUGGAGUCCACGCUCCUGUGGAGGCAGCGGGCAGUAAAGCAGACAGAUAAGCCGUCUGGCACGUUUGAAAGGAUCCACUGUGCACGGCCACAGAGCGGAAGGAGCUGCUGUUUAAGUGGGCACAGGUCGCGGGGCAGCUCUCUGCUGUGGGCUGGGAAAGCAGUAGAAGAUGGCCUUGGGCCCCUGCACCUGCAUAGGAGACCCAGAAGAAGCUCCUGGCUUCACAUCAGCACAGCUCUGGCCAUUGCAGCCAUUUGGGGAGUGAACCAGCAGAUGGAAGACCUCUCUCUCUCUCUCUCUCUCUCUCUCUCUGUGCCUCUCUGUAACUCUGUAACUCUGUCUUUCAAAUAAAUAAAUAUAAUCUGAAAAAAAAAAAACCAA